UUAAAUUGAAGAGUUUGAUCAUGGCUCAGAUUGAACGCUGGCGGCGGGCCUAACACAUGCAAGUCGAACGGUAACAGGAAGCAGCUUGCUGCUUCG
rnacentral:rRNA from 1 species